rnacentral:misc_RNA from 1 species
UCAAACUUGGUCAUUUAGAGGAAGUAAAAGUCGUAACAAGGUUUCCGUAGGUGAACCUGCGGAAGGAUCAUUAAAGGUUUAGGGUACCUGGUGCCCAAACUUCAACCCUAUGUUUUGUCAAGCUGUUUCUUUGCCGGUCUCGGCCGGCAGAAGAUCUCUCAAACUCCCCAUGAAUCUGAUCUGAAUAUGACUAUAAAAUCGUUAAAACUUUCAACAACGGAUCUCUUGGUUCUGGCAUCGAUGAAGAACGCAGC